rnacentral:rRNA from 1 species
UUAGAUACCCUGUUAUACUGAUAGAACCUUAAAUUAUUAAUAGAUAUAUUCUUUAAACUUGAAGAAUUUGGCGGUGAUUUAAUCUUGUUAGAGGAACCUGUUUUUGGAUCGAUAUUCCACGUAGAAUCUUACUUACUUUAUAUAGUUUGUAUACCGUCAUUAUCGGACAAUCUUUAAAAGGUAAAUUGUUAGGAUUUAUAAAAAUAAAUUAAAUUAGAUCAAGGUGCAGCUUAUAGGUGAGUUAAAAUGGGUUACAAUAAAAUUUAUUUAUGACGGAAUAACUAGAAGGAAGAAAUGUUAUGAAGGAGGAUUUAAUUGUAAUACAAAAUUAAUAAGCUUGAAAGAWAUAAGUUCUAAAUCAUGUACAUAUCGCCGGUCGCUA